CCUACGGGUGGCAGCAGUGAGGAAUAUUGGUCAAUGGACGAGAGUCUGAACCAGCCAAGUAGCGUGAAGGAUGACUGCCCUAUGGGUUGUAAACUUCUUUUAUAAAGGAAUAAAACGAGGCACGUCUGCCUUUUUGCAUGUACUUUAUGAAUAAGGAUCGGCUAACUCCGUGCCAGCAGCCGCGGUAAUACGGAGGAUCCGAGCGUUAUCCGGAUUUAGUGGGUUUAAAGGGAGCGUAGAUGGGUUGUUAAGUCAGUUGUGAAAGUCUGCGGCUCAAACGUAAAAUAGCAAUUGAUACUGGUGGUCUUGAGUGCAGUAGAGGUAAGCGGAAUUCGUGGUGUAGCGGUGAAAUGCAUAGAUAUCACGAAGAACCCCGAUUGCGAAGGCAGCUUACUAAACUGUGACUGACAUUGAUGCUCGAAAGUGUGGGUAUCAAACAGGAUUAGAUACCCGGGUAGUC
rnacentral:rRNA from 1 species